CAGUAGCCGCGGGAAUACGUAGGGUGCAAGCGUUAAUCGGAAUUACUGGGCGUAAAGCGUGCGCAGGCGGUUUGUUAAGACAGAUGUGAAAUCCCCGGGCUCAACCUGGGAACUACAUUUGUGACUGUAUAGCUAGAGUACGGCAGAGGGGGAUGGAAUUCCGCGUGUAGCAGUGAAAUGCGUAGAUAUGCGGAGGAACACCGAUGGCGAAGGCAAUCCCCUGGGCCUGUACUGACGCUCAUGCACGAAAGCGUGGGGAGCAAACAGGAUUAGAUACCCCUGUAGUCCCUGUCUCUUAUAC
rnacentral:rRNA from 1 species